rnacentral:misc_RNA from 1 species
GGAUGCAAGUGAUGGGGCCUAGUCUCAUUGUCUAUAAGAAGAUAACGAUCUGAACCUUGUUGGGUUCUUGAUUGAAAUGGGACCAGUAAGACUACCCACCACUGGACUUGCUUUGCUCUCGAUCUGCUCGUUCCCACCUGUCUUCAACCAACCCUAGUUUUUUUCAUUUCAGGCACCUCCCUAUUUCAAAUUCAAAUUAAAAGGUCGCCUUUAGUUUGAGUUUGAGUUUUCGUUUUCGGUCAGUUACUCAAAGCACUUCGCCGAGGUCCCCUGCAGCUAACAUUUUUAUCGUAUUCAUCAUUCUAUCUACCCUUCUGCUAUAAUAUUAUUCCUAUAAUGCAUUCUAUGUAUUUCUAAGGCUUAUUCCUUUUCUUAUGUCUAUCUUUCUUACCUUUCUUCUGCUCACGAGCGUUUCCGGAUUUCCUAGUUCACGGGCUGUGGUGAGGACCGACUUGAACGCUACACUAUUAAAGAUCCCACCUCCAAUAGUGCAUAAUUCAAGUCAUGCAGGGCGCUCGAAGAAGUUUCUGCUUGGAUUCCCCAUUCAUCCCUAGUGAUGAACCAAGCGACUCAUUACCCAUUCCUACUAGUGAGUUUGAGCCCGCCUCAAACUGAUGAGUCAAAUCCUAUCAUCCUUUCAUCCGAUAAGCCGUAUCAGUAAAGGCCUUCGCUGCUUUCUAUUCCUCUUUGUCUAUAAUUCGAGUCUUGGAAUGAAG